rnacentral:lncRNA from 1 species
GCUUGGUGAUAUUUACUCGAUUUUAUAUUGUUAAUAGAUUUAUUUUUUUGCCUAAUUAUUCCCGCCUGUGAUUCCCUCGCGGCCUUUUCGGUUCCAUCUGCACGUGGGCCAAUAGUGGGUCAAUGAAACCGGCGAUUACCUUUUUACAAAUCGUGGGAGAAGCCAAUCACCCACAAACAGAAAACAAAAGGGCGUAAAAUC